UACGUAGGUGGCAAGCGUUGUCCGGAUUUACUGGGUGUAAAGGGCGUGUAGGCGGGAGAAUAAGUCAGAUGUGAAAUACCAAGGCUCAACCUUGGGGCUGCAUUUGAAACUGUUCUUCUUGAGUGCUGGAGAGGAAAGCGGAAUUCCUAGUGUAGCGGUGGAAUGCGUAGAUAUUAGGAGGAACACCAGUGGCGAAGGCGGCUUUCUGGACAGUAACUGACGCUGAGGCGCGAAAGCGUGGGGAGCAAACAGG
rnacentral:rRNA from 1 species